UCACACUUUUAACCAGAGCCUUCCGAAAAAGCACCUUCUCAUCUGCCAGUCGUCACAACUAUCAAAAUAUCCUCAUCAAUGAUCAUCAUUUACAGUAUUAUGCUUUAGAAUUUCGAUUCUAGAGAUUGAAACGCCAUAGAUUAUUGAUUCAUUUCUGAUUUUGGAAAGAGUCUUUGAGUAAAAAUUUCAGAAAGAGCAGAGACUUUUCUUUUUGGUUUUUCAUGUGUGUGUAAAUUCAUAGCAUCUCCUUAACAAAAGAGAACUGGAACAAUUUGCUGCUGUAGCGGCCGAAACCUAGAUUAAGAAGAAGAAAUUAGGGUAUCUUUGUACUGUAUGUGAAGCUUGUAUACUCUGGGAAAGAUUUUAGUUGGGUCGGAGAUGGCUUCAGCUAGUAAUGGAAAAGGUAUAGAGGAAGAGGGAGAGGAAAUAGAAUUAGAGUCAGGGUCGACCUCUAAAGGCAAGAGUAGAAGUCCUCUUCGCAUUUUUACAUCUCAAAAAAGGUUGCUGGCUCAGGAAAAAAGUCGUAAAGUAUUUCCUAGCAUGGGAUUUCAGAAACUUACGUCAGCUUUGUCUGGUUUAGGUUCCCCAUCAACUAAAUUCCAGGGUUUUGCUGAGGGGAGAGAUGACAUUUCGCGUUCAGUUCCUUCGUCUCCAAACCAAGGUAUCCAAGAACGUUUCACAGUCCCAUUUGUUCGAAAGAUAAAUUGGCACUCUCUAAAGAAAGUGUUUAUUGAAUGGAUCAAAGAUCCGUUGAACAUGGCACUUUUUGUAUGGAUUGUUGUCGUUGCUGUAUCAGGUGCCAUCUUGUUCAUGGUCAUGACAGGUAUGUUAAACCAUGUCAUAACUAAAAAAUAUCAGAGAGACACAUGGUUUGAAGUUAAUAACCAAAUUCUCAAUGCUCUUUUUACCCUUAUGUGCUUGUACCAACAUCCCAAACGAAUGUAUCACCUCAUACUUUUACUUAGAUGGACACCGAAGGAUGUCGCUACCCUGAGAAAGGCUUACUGCAAAGAUGGAGCUCGUAAGCCUCAUGAGUGGGGACACAUGAUGGUAGUUGUUUUUCUGCUUCACAUAAACUGUUUUGCUCAGUAUGCAUUAUGUGGUCUAAACUUAGGUUACAAGAGAGCUGAACGACCACCAAUAGGAGUCGCCAUCUGCAUCUCAGUUGCAAUUGGAGCACCUGCAGUUGCUGGUGUGUACACCAUGCUUAGUCCUUUAGGAAAGGAGUAUGAUGACUCUGACACGGAUCAGGAGGCUCAGAUUCAAAUUGUUAGUAAUACACCGAGUCCUUUACGGGCGAAUAGAUUUGCGAAAAAGUAUUUAUUUGCAUCAAAAGAUGAUGCAAGGAUCAUUGAAAGCACGCCCAGAUGGAGUGGCGGGUUACUUGAUUUGUGGGAUGAUAUAUCUCUGGCUUAUCUCUCAUUUUUCUGCAGUUUCUGCGUUUUCGGAUGGAACAUGGAAAGACUUGGAUUUGGGAACAUGUAUGUUCACAUUGCUACUUUUCUUCUUUUCUGCCUCGCUCCAUUUUGGAUAUUUAACCUUGCUGCGAUCAAUAUUGAUAACGAAACUGUUAGAGGUGCAUUGGGUGUGACGGGCAUCAUUCUUUGUAUAUUUGGUUUGCUCUAUGGAGGUUUUUGGAGGAUUCAAAUGAGAAAAAGGUAUAACUUGCCAGCUAGUUAUUUCUGCUGUGGUAACCCUGAAGUGACUGACUGUUUACAGUGGCUUUGCUGCUGUUCAUGUUCUCUUGCUCAGGAGGUGAGAACUGUGGAUUUCUAUGAAAUUGUGGAAGAUAAAUAUUACGGUAGAUCAAUGGUCGAGAAUGAUAUGCCUAUGUUGUCUCCUUUGCGGAGAGAAGAUGGAUCAGUUCAGUUUAGGUCAUUCCCAAGUUCUCCACUCUAUGGAAUUCCAAGUACUUCUCAGAAUCACAUACCAGAUGCUUUGAGUCCUCAGAAUCCAUUUAUGAAAGGGUACCAUAAUCCAGAUACAUCAUCUUCUGUAGUGAGGGAAGAGUCCUCUUCUGAAGCAUACAAUGGUACAACUAUUGUAGCACCACCUGUGCACUCGUCGAUAAAGAGAGAAGAUAUCUAAUUAAUUUUCAGCACUUGCUUUCUGCAUCGAAGGACUAUGCCUAAAGUUCUUUGUAAUUUUGUGAAGAAAGCAUGCUGCAGCACUGAUGAGGAUGCAACUCUUAUAGAGAUAACGCUUGUAGGUGAGUAGUUAGAAUGAAUAACAAAGGUUUGUACAUACUGCCGAACAAUGAGAGUAAAUAUCCAAGGUAGGAUGAUCUCUGGAGUAGAUCCUACAAUGUAAAACUGCCCUGGCCUUUUUGUUUCGAUAAAUUCAAAGCAUCAAGAUUGAGAUGCUUGAAAUGAACUCCUAAUCCUUGAGCUGUUGUGAAUAAGUUGUUUCCGAAGAUGAUGUACAAAUCUUAUUAGCUUAUUUGCUAUGGUGGCUUUUUGAAUUAGGAAAAUUUCUGCUUAUUGGAUUACAAGGU